CCUCGUCACCAGGGGUGCCUUCGGGCUGAGAGGACGGCGUCAGCGCGGUCCAACCCACCGAACCUGAUCCAGAUCAUACUGGCGUAGGGAGUGUGACGCGCGGACGCC
rnacentral:ncRNA from 2 species